rnacentral:rRNA from 1 species
AACGAACGCUGGCGGCAUGCCUAACACAUGCAAGUCGAACGAGACCUUCGGGUCUAGUGGCGCACGGGUGCGUACCGCGUGGGAACCUGCCCUUAGGUUCGGAAUAACUCCCCGAAAGGGGUGCUAAUACCGGAUAAUGUCUUCGGACCAAAGAUUUAUCGCCUUUGGAUGGGCCUGCGUUGGAUUAGCGAGUUGGUAGGGUAAAAGCCUACCAAGGCGACGAUCCAUAGCUGGUCUGAGAGGAUGAUCAGCCACACUGGGACUGGGACACGGCCCAGACUCCUACGAGAGGCAGCAGAGGGGAAUAAUGGACAAUGGGCGAAAGCCUGAUCCAGCGAUGCCGCGUGAGUGAUGAAGGCCUUAGGGUUGUAAAGCGCUUUUACCCGGGAUGAUAAUGACAGUACCGGGAGAAUAAGCUCCGGCUAACUCCGU